rnacentral:rRNA from 1 species
AUUGAACGCUGGCGGCAUGCUUUACACAUGCAAGUCGAACGGUAACAGGCUUUCGGGUGCUGACGAGUGGCGGACGGGUGAGUAAUGCACCGGAACGUGCCCAGAGGUGGGGGUUAACGCAGCGAAAGCUGUGCUAAUACCGCAUGUGAUCUGAGGAUGAAAGCGGGGGACCAGGCAGCAAUGUUUGGCCUCGCGCCUUUGGAGCGGCCGAUGUCAGAUUAGGUAGUUGGUGGGGUAAAGGCCUACCAAGCCGACGAUCGGUAGCUGGUCUGAGAGGACGGCCAGCCACACUGGGACGGAGACACGGCCCAGGCUCCUACGGGAGGCAGCAGUGGGGAAUUUUAGACAAUGGGGGCAAGCCUGAUCCAGCAAUGCCGCGUGCGGGAAGAAGGCCUUCGGGUUGUAAACCGCUUUUGUACGGAACGAAAAGGCUCUGGCUAAUACCUGGCGCUGAUGACGGUACCGGAAGAAUAAGCACCGGCUAACUACGUG